ensembl:lncRNA
AUUAGUGUAUUUCUUCUAAGUAUAUAUUUUAUUUUCAUUUCAGUUUGCGAUUUUGAAUUUUCUGAGGCGGUUAUUGCAUUUUUCUGUUUAUUAUUUCUUCUGAGUCAUGUUUGAGGACACUGAUAGUCAGGAAAAUCUUGGUCCUGUGCAUCGGCCCAGUGCUAUGUUCCCAGCAGGCAGGGGUAGUGGGGCUAGUGUACAGAACAAAAGGUCUGAUGUUUCAAAUCAGUGUUUUGGAAGAGGGAGGACAUUCUUUAAUCCAGAAACUGACUAUGUACACAUGUCUGAUUCAGCUAUUGGUGCUUCAGGGAGCCCAGCUGCUUGCUCUACCCCUUUUACACGUACAAAUGCUGAUCAUGCAAUUUCUGCUGAGUCUUUAGGGGGAAUUAUUUCUGAUUUAGCACAGAAAAUUGGUCAGAGCAUUUCAGCCAGUCUCAAUUUAGCACAACAGCCCAGCCAAAUGCAGUCAAAGUCAGAUGUGCAACAUUCAAGUGAAUGUGUUGAGGCUUCUAACUUUAAUGUCUUUGUCCAACAUGAUGUUAAACCUCCACCUUUCUUUAGGGGUGAUAAAAGUGAUUCAUUUACUGUGCAUGAAUGGGAAGACAUGAUGUGCUGUUAUUUGAACAGUAAGAAAUACACCAAUGACACUGAAGCCGCUGAUGCCAUUUUGAGCAGAUUAGCAGGAAAAGCGAGGGAUGUAGUCAAAGUGUCCUUGCGCAGUUUCCCAGAGCCGACUGCUACAGUGCUCCCUAGCACAGUGUUUGACAUUCUGAAACGAAAUUUCAGUGAGUUGACGUAUUCGAACAUGCCUAUGGCUGACUUUUACAACACACUCCCUAAGACGGAUGAGAGCCCAAUGGACUAUUGGAUACGAUUAAAUAAGGCAAUUGAUGUGGCUGAUGAGUGUUUACGUAGGCGCAACAAGUGCGUUGAAGACCCUGCAGCUGAAGCUGUAAUGAUGUUUGUCUCUCACUGUCCAGAUCCUGGCCUUGCUUUGUCUUUUCAGUUCAAGCCUGCUGAACAGUGGACUGCUGCUGAGGUUCAAGAGCGACUGGAUUGUCACAGCAGGAACCUAAAAAGAGCUUCCGUUAGAACCACACGCUACUUACCUGUGUCCGCUUGCCAUCAGAACACUGUCACUGUCAGUGGUGAUCUUAUACCCAGUUCUCCCAAACAGCCUGAACUCUCAUCAGGUCAGUUACCAUGCACAAAUAGUCAGCUCAACCCCAAUGCCUCUCCUUUUACGCCUGAUGCCAGUGUGCAGCAGUUGGUUAGCAUGAUGGAUAAAGUUUUAUCACUAUGCAGUGCCUCACUUUCCUCGUCUCAUCCUGGUAGAACCAUCAAAACUUCAGACCCCAAGUCCAGUGUGAAUUCAACGUGUAGAGUGUGUCGGUCUACAGAGCACACCACGUAUGCGCACUGCAUGCGCCAUAGGCUUUGUCGUAACUGCCUCAAACCUGGACACUUUAAAAGUAAUUGCCCUGAUGCAGCAGGCCUUGAACCACUUUCUCCUACCACCCAGUUAAACUAAAUAGCCCAUGUGUGGAGGGGGUAAGCAUGGGCAGU